rnacentral:lncRNA from 1 species
GUCUAUCCUUUACAACUUACUACCCUAAGACGAAUAAAAAUAUGUCAAUAUAUUGUAUUUAUUGGAUAUUAGCAUCAUGAAUGACGUAUAGUCCUUAGGUUACAGUAGAAGAAAAAGGCAAUCUAUAUUAUGUUAAUAUAGGAAGAGAGUUUUGUAGCCAAGGUGUCUAUUUAAUCUCUUGCAGCUUGUAGGGUUUAUUAAUCUAAGUAG